rnacentral:rRNA from 1 species
UCGAGAAUCUUCCGCAAUGGACGCAAGUCUGACGGAGCGACGCCGCGUGAUGGAUGAAGUAGUUCGCUAUGUAAACAUCUUUUGUAAGCGAGAAAGUUUAUUGAUCAGCUUACGAAUAAAGGGUUGCUAAACUCGUGCCAGCAGCAGCGGUAAUACGAGUGCCCUAAGCGUUAUCCGGAAUUAUUGGGCGUAAAGGGUGUGUAGGCGGUUGUGUUAGUCUUUUGUUAAAUUCUUCGGCUUAACCGGGGGCAUGCGAAGGAAACGGCACAACUAGAGGAUGCGAGAGGUGAAUGGAACUCAUGGAGUAGGGGUGAAAUCCGUUGAUAUCAUGGGGAACACCAAAAGCGAAGGCAAUUCACUGGCGCACUCCUGACGCUGAGACACGAAAGCGUAGGUAGCG